rnacentral:misc_RNA from 1 species
GCAUUUUCCUUCCCUCCCUCUUUCCAUUUCUGAUUACAGGAAAGCUAUAAAGAACUAUUAUAGGAAUUUAACAGUGAUUUGACUCACAAUCAAAUGCUAUAUUUUACAAAUGAGUUUUAGUUUAGUGGUACUUAUUUGUCUACAAGGCUGUGAGGUCUUGAGUUUGACUAAGAAUCGGAUCACCUCUUUUUAGGCUUCCUUUCUCAUUUUCUAGUUCUGCAACAAUUUCAGGAGAGGAGGAACACUCAUAGGCU